CGCCUCUCCCUGCUCCCCAAGCUUGGAAGCUGCGCCGCCCCCUGUGUCCCAGCGUGGCAUGGGGGCGUCAGGAUGCCAGCAUUGCCUGCUUCCGGUUCCUCUCCUCUGAAGACCACAGGACGCCCGCUGGCCUCUUCCUUGUCCUCUGUAUCUCUGUUCUACCCGCAGCAGUAAGACACCAAUUGCCAAGUAUGCAUUACGUCUAUCUUAUAUUAUACAAUCUCCUGAAUUAUAUUACUUGGUUAUUUAAAGACCACCUUUACAGAAACAAGUGGCCAAAGAUGAAACUGAGAGACGAGGCUAAGAAAGGAAAGGGAAAUGAACUGGAAGAUCCACAAACCAGUGGUGAUUGCUGCGUUUCUGCGUCUCUCCUCUGUUCUCUUCACCUGGCAGCACUGUGUCUUGCACUUUUGGGAGCCGCUACGCUGUCUCCCUCCAUCCCUGCUUCCACCAGUUGAUAGACUGUCUCCUAACGUGCGUGGACUUUGAUCUGCACUUUGACCCUCCUACGUUUGCUCACCUCUGCCCAUCUUAUGCCCGCCCCAGGUGACCAAGUUUAGCCCACAGGAGACAGCUCUGGAAAGUUGCAAAGCAAGAGGAUGUCUCUAAACAAAUACAAUUCCUUAGCAGCAGCUCUUGAAGAAAAGGGUUUAUAACAGAAUCCCUCAACAAAUAACUCAGGAUAAUUCUAAGGUGACUCAGUGAGAUAAAAAGACAGGUAAUUUAAUGAAACAAGGAAAAGAAUUCAUAAUGUAAAGGGGAAAUCCAGCAAAGAUAUCAAGAUCAGAAUAAGCAAACAGACACCUUGGAGCUGAGGAAUUAAAUAAGUAAAAAACAACUACGACAAAAAAGACAAGAGCUUCAGCAACAUACUAGGUCAAGCAGAAGAAUUUCUGAACAUGAAGACAGGUGUUUUAGAAAAAUAUAGUCAGAUAAAAAUAUAGAAUUAAGAGAAAUCCUAAAAAUUAAGAAAAGCUAUGAGAUUCAUGGGACAGCAUUAAGUGAAUAAUUGUUUGAAUUAAGUAUUUCUGUGUUAUAGUCCCUAAAGCAACAGCCUGUUCGAUUUUUACUCACUUUUUCAAACAUGUAAUUGGUCAUAAUAGAAUAGAAAUAAUGAUUUCAGUGAAAAAGCAGCAAAAACUAUGUAACUAUGUGUUAUGUCACAUUUAUUUUGGUGGUCAAUGUUUGAUUACAAAUGUGUAACAUCUAACUUUAAUUUAGACAUGAUGAUUCUGG
rnacentral:lncRNA from 1 species